UACGGAGGGUGCAAGCGUUGUCCGGAUUUAUUGGGUUUAAAGGGUGCGUAGGCGGCUCUUUAAGUCAGUGGUGAAAUACUGCAGCUCAACUGUAGCAUUGCCAUUGAUACUGAAGAACUUGAGUACAGAUGAGGUAGGCGGAAUUUAUGGUGUAGCGGUGAAAUGCAUAGAUACCGUAAAGAACACCGAUUGCGAAGGCAGCUUACUAAGCUGUAACUGACGCUGAGGCACGAAAGCGUGGGGAGCGAACAGG
rnacentral:rRNA from 1 species